AAGAGAAAGAAGGCGGCAGGCCCAGUCAUCAAAAAGCCAUCUCCAACUUAUGUCCUCUGGUGUAGAGACCAAUGGAACGAGGUAAAGAAAGAGAACCCACAUCAGAGUUCAAAGAAAUCUCAAACAUAUUGGGAUCAAAAUGGAAGAACCUCAACCCAGAAGAGAAGAAGCCCUACGAGGAAAAAUACCAGGCUGACAAAGAAGCAUACCAACAGAUCAUUGGAAAAGAGAAGCGUGAAAAUGAAGCAAUGAAGCUUUUUGAGGAGGAACAGAAGCAGAAGACAACAAUGGAGU